AACGAACGCUGGCGGCAGGCUUAACACAUGCAAGUCGAGCGCCCCGCAAGGGGAGCGGCAGACGGGUGAGUAACGCGUGGGAACGUACCUGUUGGUUCGGAACAACUCCGGGAAACUGGAGCUAAUACCGGAUAAGCCCUAACGGGGAAAGAUUUAUCGCCGAAAGAUCGGCCCGCGUCUGAUUAGCUAGUUGGUGAGGUAACGGCUCACCAAGGCGACGAUCAGUAGCUGGUCUGAGAGGAUGAUCAGCCACACUGGGACUGAGACACGGCCCAGACUCCUACGGGAGGCAGCAGUGGGGAAUAUUGGACAAUGGGCGCAAGCCUGAUCCAGCCAUGCCGCGUGAGUGAUGAAGGCCUUAGGGUUGUAAAGCUCUUUUGUCCGGGAAGAUAAUGACUGUACCGGAAGAAUAAGCCCCGGCUAACUUCGUG
rnacentral:rRNA from 1 species